rnacentral:misc_RNA from 1 species
UGACAUAAAAUUUGGGGUGGACAACAAAGUUGAUUUCUAUGCAGUUUCGUUUGUUAAAGAUUCAUAAGUAGUUCGUGAAUUGAAGAAUUAUCUUCAAAGUAAAAUGUGCUUGGGUUUUAUGUUCACAAGGUUAAUUUCAGUUGCAUGCGUGAUAAUCGAGUUAAAUUUAACAUGCCUGAUGUUUUACUUUGUAUCUUGGCAG